AUGGCAAUCUUCAUUAACCCCAUCCGUUCGGAAGUGGAAGCGUUACAACAGAUCCUGCAUGCUUUCGGGGAGGCCACCGGCCUCAAGGUGAACUUCGAGAAGAGCACGAUUCUGCCAAUCCAAGGUGCACUUUUUGACGUCCAGCUUGUCACUGAACCCUUGGGGGCCCCCUGUGCGGCCUUCCCAUGCAAAUUCCUCGGGCUUCCGCUGUCACUCAGAAAAUGGCGCAAGGUUGACCUCCAACCCCUGCUUGACAAGCUCCUGGCAAGGCUAGCCUGCUGGAAGCUCAAGCUAUUCGCGGUGGCCGGCAGAUUGGUGCUCCUCAACUCGGUCCUGACUGCAUUUUCCACCUACUGGCUGUCUAUGCAAGACAUGCCUGCCUGGGUGCGCCGCCAAAUUGAUAAGGCCAGAAGAGCCUGGCUUUGGCGGGGGCAAGAGGAAUGCCAUGGCGGCCACUGCAAGGUUGCCUGGGGGAGGAUCUGUAGGCCGAAGGAGCUGGGCGGCCUCGGAAUCCUAGACCUAGUGCGGUUCGGACAAGCCUUGAGGCUACGUUGGCUAUGGCUUGAACGGACGGCACCGGAGAGACCAUGGAUAGGCUUGCCCGUCCCAUGUACCCUAAAAGAGAGAACUUUGUUCGCGGCCGCAACAGCGGCGCAGGUCAGAGAUGGGAAGACGGCGUCCUUCUGGUAUGACAGCUGGAUGCAAGGGGAAGCACCCUUCUUAGUGGCACCUGAGAUCUUCCAGCUGGCGCGCCAAAAAAAACAAGACGGUGCAUGCGGCGCUCCGGGACAACAGCUGGGUGCAUGA
rnacentral:rRNA from 1 species